GACGAACCGUGGCAAACGUUGUUCGGAUUCACUGGGCUUAAAGGGCGCGUAGGCGGGUUGGCAAGUCCGGGGUGAAAUCCGUCUCCGCUCAACGGAGAGAACUGCCCCGGGAUACUGGCGACCUCGAAGGGAGGUAGGGGCAUGUGGAAACUUCCGGUGGAGCGGUGAAAUGCGUAGAUAUCGGAAGGAAGCCGGUGGCGAAGCGACGUGCUGGACCUCUUCUGACGCUGGAGGCGCGGAAAGCCAGGGGAGGCAAACGGG
rnacentral:rRNA from 1 species